UCCCGUGUGGCUCAGUUGGUAGAGCAUGGUGUUUGCAACGCCAGGGUUGUGGGUUCGAUUCCCACGGGAG
rfam:Salmo salar isolate Sally breed double haploid chromosome ssa09, whole genome shotgun sequence.